rnacentral:rRNA from 1 species
UACGUAGGGUGCGAGCGUUGUCCGGAAUUAUUGGGCGUAAAGAGCUCGUAGGCGGCCUGUCGCGUCGGAUGUGAAAGCCCGGGGCUUAACCCCGGGUCUGCAUUCGAUACGGGCAGGCUGGAGUGUGGUAGGGGAGAUCGAAUUCCUGGUGUAGCGGUGAAAUGCGCAGAUAUCAGGAGGAACACCGGUGGCGAAGGCGGAUCUCUGGGCCAUUACUGACGCUGAGGAGCGAAAGCGUGGGGAGCGAACAGG